UUUGAAGAGAGAGUUCAAGAGUACGUGAAACUGCUUAGAGGUAAACGGGUGGAUCCGCAAAGUCGACCCGGGGAAUUCAACUUGCCGUUUUCAGACGGCGGACGUUGCGAUAGGGAUCUGUAAAGACCCGUCCGGCGUUCGGCUGUCUUCGGCGAGUGCACUUUCCUCGGGUAGAGUGCCACGACCGGUUUUGGGGCGGUCACAAGCCAGUCGGGAAGGUGACUUCCUCCUCGGAGGAAGUGUUAUAGCCCGGCCAGGUCGACUGUUCCGAGACCGAGGAUUUGCCGCGUCUCACCUGCCAUCGGCGCUCUGUCUACGUUCGACUGGGGAAGCACUGCUUGCAGUUCUCUCCGACCGCGUGGAUGGAUCGGCUGAGAAGCACGAGGCGCUGCGGGUCAGUGGCGAGUCGGUCGGUCCUCCACCCGACCCGUCUUGAAACACGGACCAAGGAGUCUAACAUGUGCGCAAGUCAUGGGGUUCUGUACGAAACCUAAAGGCGCAAUGAAAGUGAAGGUCAACCUCCGGUCGGCCUAGGUAGGAUCCCCGUCGAGGGGCGCACUACCGGCCCGUCUCGACCACAUUGUUGGUGGGGCGGAGCAAGAGCGUACACGUUGGGACCCGAAAGAUGGUGAACUAUGCCUGAGUAGGACGAAGCCAGAGGAAACUCUGGUGGAGGUCCGUAGCGAUUCUGACGUGCAAAUCGAUCGUCAAACUUGGGUAUAGGGGCGAAAGACUAAUCGAACCAUC
rnacentral:rRNA from 1 species